CGCCAUCAUGAACCCGACCCGUCUUCUUCCCCAACCGAUCCCCUGGGCACAUUCCAUCUUCUUACCUGGCCCCGUGGCCCGUCUUCUUCCCCAACCGAUGCCCUUCUUUCUCCUCCGGAUGCUCCUGCCUCCGGCGAGCUCCUGUCUAUGCCUCGCCGGUGAAUCUACAACUCACUACCGCUCGUCGCGGCAUCCCCGUGUCUAUCUCGAAGUCCGUCUAAUCUGACCGGGGGUCAAGAUGAAAAGGCCGUCCUCCCACUCGCACAUGUCAAACCUCAGACUCCCCUCCGCGUGCAACGCCGCGGCGUCGUCGCUGGCUCCAUCUCGUCCUUGCUGGCGUCCACCCGUUUCGCUCCUGCUUGCCGCGGCACCCGCGUCUCUGCCUCAGGUAAAUGUAACCCUGCAUUAAGCGGUCUUGGUGCCCUCUGUCUCCUGUCAAAGCCCCUCACGCAUACAACCCCUGCAAAAAUAAACAAAGGUAAAUGUAACCCUGCAUUAAGCGGUCUUGGUGCCCUCUGUCUCCUGUCAAAGCCCCUCACGCAUACAACCCCUGCAAAAAUAAACAAAGGUAAAUCCCUCUGCAUAAGCACGUUCUAGCUCAUAUAACACAAGUUAUUACUACUAGUUACUAAAUGGUGAACUUGAAAAUGUUGUACUCUACUGCUAUCACAAGCAUGAAGAUAACCAACUCAAAAGAACACCAAAAGAGACAUGGAGUUUCUGAUCACGAGCUCACAGGCACCCUCAUGAACAGUAAAAUCAAACAAAUAGAACAAAAUUCAAAACAUUCUGAAUGCAAAACUUCGUGAAGAAAAAACAUUCCUAAUGCUCUAGAAGAAAAAUGAUGCUCCAAAAAGAUUUUGUAAGCAUUUUCGAGCAUGAGUGCCAAAGUAAUAAAUCCUAGAUAUACAGAUUUAUUUACGAGUGCACUGACUGUAUGGAUGUCUUAAUGAGGCGAAAUAGCUGCAACUUAAAUUUCUUAGAGGACGGAUAGCAAUCGGUUGA